AUACUUAGGGUGCAAGCGUUAAUCGGAAUUACUGGGCGUAAAGCGCUCGUAGGCGGCUUGUUAAGUCGGAUGUGAAAUCCCCGGGCUCAACCUGGGAACUGCAUUCGAUACUGGCAGGCUAGAGUAUAGUAGAGGCAAGUGGAAUUCCGGGUGUAGCGGUGAAAUGCGUAGAUAUCCGGAGGAACAUCAGUGGCGAAGGCGACUUGCUGGACUAAUACUGACGCUGAGGAGCGAAAGCGUGGGGAGCAAACGGGAUUAGAUACCCCGGUAGUCC
rnacentral:rRNA from 1 species